rnacentral:rRNA from 1 species
UACAGAGGGUGCGAGCGUUGUCCGGAAUCACUGGGCGUAAAGGGCGCGUAGGCGGCCUGAUAAGUAGGGGGGUGAAAUCUUGCGGCUCAACCGCAAGGCUGCCUUCUAAACUGUCAGGCUGGAGCACGGUAGAGGCAGAUGGAAUUCCCGGUGUAGCGGUGGAAUGCGUAGAGAUCGGGGAAGAACACCAGUGGCGAAGGCGGGUCUCUGGGCCGAUACUGACGCUGAGGAGCGAAAAGCGUGGGGGAGCGAACAGG